CAACACUUUGUCACUGUGACCACCAAUAACCUGGUUUUCGGCGAUGGCACAAAACUUACAGUAAUGGGGAAAAACAAUGAAAUCAUACCUCCAGCUGUGGCCAUCUUUUCCCCAUCAAAGCAAGAGAUCCAACAGAAAAGCAAGGCCACGCUGGUAUGCCUGGCCUCUGGUUUCUACCCUGACCACCUGAAUCUGGUCUGGAAGGUGAAUGGUGCUAACAGAACAGAAGGUGUGGGGACUGAUGAGUUUUCCACGCAGAAUGGGAGUACCUACUCCUUGACCAGCCGACUGAGGAUCUCAGCCCAGGAAUGGUUCAACCCUUUGAAUCGUUUUGAGUGUGUUGCCAAUUUUUUAAAUAAUGAAACAAAGGAACCGAUACACAAAUUCAUCUAUGGUGAUGCUGGUUGUGCAUUCACAGAAGAGUCCUACUUGCGGUAUGGAAAUUCUCUGAAGCUUACUUACCUCAUCCUCUUUGGCAAAGCCUUGCUUUAUGCAGUUUUGGUGAGCACUCUGGUGUGGACAGCCAAGGCUGGUGGCAAGUUGUAUAGAGAAUAAAUGAACAGCCCUCUUCACAUCAGCAGGAGCACAGCAAAUCAUGGUUUCUAACUUUUCAUAGCAGAGGAUCUACACUUCUGUCCAAGAACUUCUGAAUAUUAUUUCUUGGUGGCUCUCUGUCCCUCUCCUGUUCCUUCCACUUUGUUAUAAUCACUGCUGGGUUUUCUCUGUACUUCCAUAUCAUAUUGUUUCAAAUUGUAUUGUACUAUAUCGUAUCAUAUCUUCAAGUUAAUUCCUUAAUGCUCAAGCUGACGACCCAGCUCCUUGAAUUAGGAAUAAAGUUUUAGCUUCUUUUCCAUCCAAGAAGUAUGAAUCGUUGUGUUUUGAUUUGUUCUUUUGCAGCAAUAA